rnacentral:rRNA from 1 species
AUUGAACGCUGGCGGCAGGCCUAACACAUGCAAGUCGAGCGGAGCGGCGGACGGGUGAGUAAUGCCUCGGAAUCUGCCUGGUAGUGGUGGAUAACUUCCGGAAACGGGCGCUAAUACCGCAUACUAUCAGAUGAGCCUAGUUCGGAUUAGCUAGUUGGUGGGGUACAGGCCUAACAGGUCGACGAUCCGUAACGGGUCUGAGAGGAUGAUCAGUCACACUGGAAAUGAGACACGGUCCAGACUCCGACGGGAGGCAGCAGUGGGUAAUAUGGGACAAUGGGCGAAAGCCUGAUUCAUCCAUGCCGCGUGUGUGAAGAAGGUCUUCGGAGUGUAAAGCACGUUAAGUUGGGAGGCGUUACCAACAGAAUAAGCACCGGCUAACUACGUGCCAGCAGCCGCGGUAAUAC